rnacentral:lncRNA from 1 species
AACAGAAAGACCACUUACCGGAAUGAUAUUGAGAAACUGAUCAGUUCAAAGUGAAGCUCUUGACGUCAUGCACGCUUAAGCCCUUUCAAACAAAAAAUUAAACGGUUCAAUGAGUUAGGAUUCUAGAGAGAAGACAGAGCAACUAUCUGAAAGGGUUUCUAGAGAGAGAAGUAAAAAUAGCUAAAUGAAGAAUCUGAUUUUUAGAGAAACCC